rnacentral:misc_RNA from 1 species
GUGAGUCAUCGAAUCUUUGAACGCAUAUUGCGCUCUCUGGUAUUCCGGAGAGCAUGCUUGUUUGAGUAUCAGUAAACACCCUCAAGUCUUUCUUUUUUUUAAAAAAAGGAGGAAUUGGAUUUGAGUGAUCCUAACGUGUAUAUAUUAUUAUAUAUAUGGCAGGUCACUUGAAAUACAGGUGCAGCUGAACUUUCUUCUGAGCUAUAAGCAUAUUUAUUUAGUCCUGCUUUGCGGCUGGAUUAUUACUUUUGCUGCAGCUAACAUAAAGGUUGAUUGUUCAAAUGCUGACUGAUUCAGGAA